rnacentral:rRNA from 1 species
AGUGAACGCUGGCGGUAGGCCUAACACAUGCAAGUCGAACGGCAGCACAGUAAGAGCUUGCUCUUACGGGUGGCGAGUGGCGGACGGGUGAGGAAUACAUCGGAAUCUACUUUUUCGUGGGGGAUAACGUAGGGAAACUUACGCUAAUACCGCAUACGACCUACGGGUGAAAGCAGGGGAUCUUCGGACCUUGCGCGAUUGAAUGAGCCGAUGUCGGAUUAGCUAGUUGGCGGGGUAAAGGCCCACCAAGGCGACGAUCCGUAGCUGGUCUGAGAGGAUGAUCAGCCACACUGUAACUGAGACACGGUCCAGACUCCUACGGGAGGCAGCAGUGUGGAAUAUUGGACAAUGGGCGCAAGCCUGAUCCAGCCAUACCGCGUGGGUGAAGAAGGCCUUCGGGUUGUAAAGCCCUUUUGUUGGGAAAGAAAAGCAGCAGGUUAAUACCCCGCUGUUCUGACGGUACCCAAAGAAUAAGCACCGGCUAACUUCGUG